GUCCUCUGUAGCUCAGUUGGUUAGAGCUCUUGGCCUCUGUAGCUCAGUUGGUUAGAGCGCUGCACAGGAAUCGCAGGUUCGAUUCCUGUCAGGGACC